UUGUUUUUAGCAAGGGAGCUAGCUAGCCAACAGGGGACUGUAGAUACUGGGUUUCGAGACGGUACCAACACCAACUACCAACUGAAGCCUAAUUUUAACAGCGGGUCCACUUGCUGGGCUUGUGUCAGUAAGAUUCACUGCUUGAUGUCCUUUCUGUGGGUAACCUCUGCUUAAACCAUAUCAACACUGCGGGCUCCGGGUUGGAGCCUCUGAGUCCACCCCAUCUAUAACCCAUGGCUCCACUCACCUCCUCAUCUGGCUGAAUCAGCUGCGGCCAUCUUGCUGAUAAGAUUGCAAAGUUGGAAGGAAGAAUCUCCAAACGCUACCAGACCCAGGAAGCUGAGAAAUUCAUGGACACCAUCAUUUUCAGCCCAGCACAAACAGACAUAACCUGUGGCCUGAUGCCACUGCUCCCUGUCACACAGAGGGAGAAGCUCCUCUCGUACACCUCCUAACUAUGACAUCCAGCUGGAAAAUAAAUUUGACAUCCUCAACCUGCGUGACUUUCCUCCUUUGGCUGGGGAAUCCCAGCCUCCUCCUCCAUCUCCCCUUCCCUCGUGUGGGUCCCAUAGCUCACUGUCACCUCUGAUCCCUGCACCAGCCAUACUUGGACACUCCUCCUGCCCCAGGGCUCGCCACUCCAUACCACACUUUAGACCAGUGCCAUGUGGGGCUCUGCCCCCCUCUCUGUCCACCCUUCUCUAUCCAUUCUGUGACCAACUGCAACUUCCUCCACCGACCACUCCCCGUCCAACCACGCUCAUUAUUGGAGUUUCAAUCAUGAGGACAUUAAGAAAAAAUCUGUGGUGACUGAUAUCCUAGAAAAGAUUCCCAGCAUCCUGGCUGAGCACCCCCUCGCCCAGGAUAUUGUCAACUAUGUCGGCUGCAAUGACAUUCUCAGUCAGACCUCAGAAAUACUAAAACGUGACUUCAGCAAACUCCUUGACUCCCUCACAGUCAAUUGUAAAUGGAUCUUUAUCUCCAGUCCCAUCUCCUCAGUCAACCCCAGUGUGGGCCAAUUUUGCUGCACUCUUAGCCUCCCUACCUGGCUGCAGUUAACCUGUACAGUUCACAAAAAGCUUUUGUUGACAAUUUUAACCUCUUCUGGAAAUGCCCAGCCUUCUUCCAUCAUGAUGGAAUCCCGCCCAAUGGCCUAGGCUCACUCACUUUAACUGACAAUUUAUUUUACACAAUCUAUAGCUCUCCCUCACCUUUUACCACAUGACCUCAUCCACUCCUGGUCACUUCAGGUCUCCACCAGCAAAACCACUCCCUCCCCUACAAACCAUAUUAGUUCCCCCUUGCAGGUAGGACUACCCUCUACCUGGGAGAAAACAACCUCCCCAAUACAAUAGCAACAGUGUCAAGACAAAGAUUAGAUAAGCAGGUCACAGUAAAAAUCUUCCAAUCCUACAAAUUUGAUUCACAUUCCCUGUAAGCCAAGUAUCUCAGGCCCUGCUCCAACAAAUUUAAUAUUAGGGCCCUGAUUAACCAGUCACUUUUAAUCGAUGAUUUUACCUUUUACAAGCUUGAUUUUAUGUUAUUAACAGACAUUUGGUUGGACACCAAGAAUGGCAAUGCUGUCCUUAUUGAAUCCACCCCACCAAAUAUCAUGUUUGAGUCUGAAGUACAAGAGAACAAUAAAGGACCGGGUGUUUCUGACUUUUUUACGGAUAUGUUCCUUUGUAAGAAGUUAUCAUUGGAGAGUUCUCAUCUUUUGAAUAAAAAAAUGGAAAUUAAA